UCAGAUUGAACGCUGGCGGCAGGCCUAACACAUGCAAGUCGAGCGGCAGCGGGAAAGUAGCUUGCUACUUUUGCCGGCGAGCGGCGGACGGGUGAGUAAUGCCUGGGAAAUUGCCCAGUCGAGGGGGAUAACAGUUGGAAAAGAAUGCUAAUACCGCAUACGCCCUACGGGGGAAAGCAGGGGACCUUCGGGCCUUGCGCGAUUGGAUAUGCCCAGGUGGGAUUAACUAGUUGGUGAGGUAAAGGCUCACCAAGGCGACGAUCCCUAGCUGGUUUGAGAGGAUGAUCAACCACACUGGAAAUGAGACACGGUCCAGACUCCUACGGGAGGCAGCAGUGGGGAAUAUUGGACAAUGGGCGAAAACCUGAUCCAGCCAUGCCGCGUGUGUGAAGAAGGCCUUUUGGUUGUAAAACACUUUAAGCGAGGAGGAGGAGGUUCAGGUUAAUACCCUGGAUGCUUGGACGUUACUCGCCGAAUAAGCCCCGGCUAACUUUGUGCCCGCCACCGCGGU
rnacentral:rRNA from 1 species